rnacentral:lncRNA from 1 species
GAUGAGGAUACACACACACACACACACACACACACACACACACACACACACACACAGUUUGGGUAUCCCUAAUCCAGAAAUUCAAAUGCUCCAAAGUCCAAAACUUUCUGACCCACCAACAUGACUGAUGCUCAAAGGAAAUGGCCACUGGAAGAUUUCAGAUUUUCAGAUUUGGAGUGCUCAACCAGUAAGUAUAUAAUGCAAAUAAUCCAAAAUACAAAAAAAAAAAAAAAGAAAUCUGAAACACUUCUGAUCCCAAGCAUUUCAGAAAACGGAUGUUCAUUUGUGUGUGUGUGUGUGUGUAAGCAGGUGUUGCUAGAAAUUCACUUAUAUACAAGAAAACUUUUUGUGUACAUAUUUGCAUAUAUAUGUACAAAUGGGUAGAAACGAUACAUGAUUAAUCUUAAUCGGGAAGGAAAAGAGAUUUAGGGAAGGAAGCAGUAAGUGAGAACUUUUAUUCUAUUUACUCCUGCACGUUUAAAUAUUGUUUACAGUGAGUAUAUCAACAUGUAAGUGUUAAAAGACAAUAAGCUACUAGUGAUUUUUAAUAUAAAAUUAACUAUAAAAUAUUUUAAAUAUUAGCAAAUAAUAUAGCACACUCAUGAACCUAAUUCCCACAUUUGAUAGUUGUUACAUUUUGCCAUGUUUGUUUAAAGGUCUAAGUCAUAAAAUCUUAUAAAGCUAAACCCCACCCUUCUCUUUCUCCUCUCUCUCCAGGAUAAUUACUGUUUUAUAGUUUGUGGAUAUCAUUCCCUUACUUGUGUUUAUACUUUUACCAAGUGUGUAUGUAUUCAAAAAACAGUUGUUUUGUGAUUUUAAAAUGUAAAUGAAUGGCGUUAUGCUCCAUGUAUUCUGCAACUUUUCAUCAUACAUUAGGUUUUGGCGAUUUAGCCAUAAUUUGGCAUGAAUUCAGGUCUUUUAAGUUUUAUUCCAUUGUAAGAAUAAACAAGUUUGUUCAUUCAUGUCUCC